UCCGCCUCCCACCCUCCUCUCUCUCUCUCUCUCUCUCUAUCUAUCUAUCUAUCUAUCUAUCUAUCUAUCUCACUCACUGUGGAGACUGGGCUAGAAAAGGAGCCUCUUUUAUUUUCACCGACGACUUAAUAUUGUUAAAAGCGACUGAUCACAGAGGUAAGAACCACAACUAGGAGCAGAGAGAGAAGGUUUGGAGCCUUGGAGGCAAGAGGGUAGGAAAAAUGGAUGAAUGAGAGAGAAGGCUUUCGCUUCUCUUUUAUAAAGAGGGAAACAUGCGUGAUGGCACGUGACACUUCUAUAAAAAGGCAGUGAGGCUGGUACAGG
rnacentral:lncRNA from 1 species